CACACACACAAAGAGGAAGGAAGCCGGUCAAAACUGCAGACGCCAUGGGAUGACUGUGCCCAGAAAAAUCCAGCUGCUUGGAUUCUAAGCUCAGAUAGUACAGCAGAAAAAUAAGCACAAAACCUGUCUCAGGGAAAAUUUAGGUUUUAUCCUCAGGCUACCAAAGACUGACCAGAAAGAGAUGGGCAUCCCAGGUUCCAAGGAAAGACUCAAAACCUGACCUCCUCAUGGAACAAUGGGCUGUGGUUCACAAGGGUCUCUGAAAUGCUUGGCAUUGCUGCUUGUCUUGUCUCAUUUCCAAACCCUCUGGGGCUUCCAAAAUGCUGAGAAUUAUCUAGAGGACUGACUGUGAAUGGUGACAUAAUGUCUCUCGCUGGACAUAAACAUAAUGAGACCACAUGGGAAGCCUACGUCUGCCCCCCACCCCCUGGCCCUUUGACCCAUUCCUGAAAGUCUUAAAAGACAGAAUCCUAAGCCCUUAAGUGCACCUCCUCUCUGAGGUUGCCCACACUUCCCUUUCUUUGAGUGUGUACUUUUUGUCUUAAAUAAAGACU